rnacentral:rRNA from 1 species
UACGUAGGGUGCGAGCGUUAAUCGGAAUUACUGGGCGUAAAGCGUGCGCAGGCGGCGCGUUAAGACAGGUGUGAAAGCCCCGAGCUUAACUUGGGAAUUGCGCUUGUGACUGGCGUGCUGGAGUGUGGCAGAGGGAGGUGGAAUUCCACGUGUAGUAGUGAAAUGCGUUGAUAUCGUUGGGAACACCGAAAGCGAAGGCAGGCCACUGGGUCUUUCCUGACACUGCUAGGACGAAAGCGUGGGGAGCGAAUGGG